GAAUGGCUAAACCCCACGGAAAACCCCAGGCCACUCCGCAUCUAAGAACAACCGCAAAGCCGUCGAAGUGUCGAACCGGCCCGAUGCUCCACCGGCGGCAGCCCCUCCCCGCCCUCGUCCGCCUCUUCUCCACUUCAUGCCGCCGUCGCUCCCACCUCUUCUCGCAGUCGCAUCGUCCGAGCACCGACAUCCUCCCGCCGCCGCCCGUGGCGAAGAAAGUUCCCUUCACCGUGUCGGCGCACGGGAGGUCGUGGAGCGACCCGUACCACUGGAUGCGCGACACCUCCGACCCCGAUCUCGCCGCCCUCCUCGCCGCCGAGAACACCUACGCAGACGCCUUCGUCUCCUCGGCCGGCGGCGGCGGCCUCCGCGCGCGCCUCGUGGCCGAGAUGCAAGCCCGGCUGCCCCCUUCCGCUGCCUCCCCUCCUCAACCAUGGGGCCCUUGGUUAUAUUACCAGUAUGUUCCAAAUGGGAUGGAGUACCCAGUUCUGUCCAGAAAAUUGAGGCCCUCGGGUGGUUUAGUAGGUGGUUUUCUUAGACAUCUUUCUGAUUGGGAGAAGGAAGAAGUGUUGCUUGACUGGAAUGAGAUUGCAGAGAAAUUUGGUUAUGUACACAUUGGAAGCUGCCGAAUCUCUCCUGAUCAUAGGUCUCUUGCAUAUACUCUCGACACAUCUGGGGGUGAACUGUUUUCCCUGGAAGUGAAAGAUCUUCAGUCUAAGCAUGUCAUUUCCUGUCAACCAGUCAAGGGAGUAGUCAGUUUAGCAUGGGCCGGCAACAGCAAAAAUUUAUUUUAUACUGUCUGUGACGAGACUCUACGUCCCAAUCAGGUUUUCUGUAAAAAGAUGCAGUCAGAUGAGGCAGAUUUUUUAGUCUUUGUGGAGAAUGAUGUAAACUGUUGUGUGGAUAUCACAAGCACAAAAGAUUCCAAGUAUAUUACCGUAAAUUCUAACACAAGGACAUCAUCUGAGGUUUUUGUGAUGGAAUCUGGCAAUUUAAGAGAAGGCUUAUGGCCUGUACGGAAACGCAGCAACAAAGUGCAGUACUUCUUGGAGCAUCAUAAUGGAUUUUUCUACAUUCUUACUAAUGCACCCUUGAGCGAUUCUGAAACAGCAGCUGAGGGCUACUACCUGGCCAGGUGUAGAGCUGAAAAAUCACUGAUGAACAGAUGGCAGGUUGUGGCGCUCCCUGGGUCAGACUAUACCUUUCAGGAUAUGGAUAUUUUUCACGAAAAUUUAGUUCUCUUCCUUCGAAAAGACGGGCUUCCUCUGUUUUGCUCCAUUGAUUUGCCAGUGAAGGUCGACUUUCAGGAGCCAAAGGAACUGUGUGAUCUCGCUCCAUGGUUUUUCCCAAUACCGUCAAACUUAUGCAGCAUUCUUCCGGGACCCAACAAUGAUUUCUUGUCAUCUACUUAUCGCCUGGUGGUGUCAUCACCAGUGAUUCCAGACUUAACUGUGGACUUUGACAUGAGAAAUAAGACAUUUACCAUCCUUCAUCAAGAGGAAGUCACUGGCCUCUCUUCAAGUCUACACACAUUAGGAUUGCAAUCCACUGUUUCAAGUAUCCAACAAAAUCUGCAGCUUAUUGAAGAUUCACAAAGUUGGAGUGAUCUUUCCAAGUUAUUCUCUUGUGAGAGGGUCCAAGUUAUUUCACAUGAUGGUGUUUCAAUACCUCUAAUGAUCCUGUAUUCCCAGGAAGAACAUAUUCAUGGAGAAUCACCUGGGAUCUUAUAUGGGUAUGGAGCUUACGGAGAAGAUCUGGAUAAAGGCUGGUGUUCUGAUAGGUUAAGUCUACUUGCUCGAGGUUGGGUUCUUGCAUUUGCAGAUGUUAGGGGAGGAGGGGAUCCAUCAUGGCACCUGGCAGGCACCAAAUCUAACAAGAUAAAUUCAGUUAAAGAUUUUGCUGCAUGUGGUAUGCAUCUUAUCAAGGAAGGUUUUGUACAUGAAAGACGCCUUUGUGCUGUAGGCUGCAGUGCUGGUGGUCUGCUGGUUGGGGCGGUCAUUAAUAUGUUGCCAAAUUUAUUAUCUGCUGCAGUUCUUAAGGUCCCUUUUCUUGAUACCUGUAAUACAAUGUUGGAUCCUACUUUACCUCUCACUAUCUUGGACUAUGAAGAAUUUGGGGACCCUAAUAUCCCAGUUGAAUUUGAUGUGAUCCAAAGUUAUUCUCCUUAUGACAACAUAUCUGGUGGUGUAUGUUACCCCUCAGUUCUGGUGACGGCAUCAUUUAAUGAUACAAGGGUAGGAGUGUGGGAAGCUGCAAAGUGGGUUUCCAAAGUGAGAGAUGUCACAUGCCCAUCCUGUUCCCAGUCUGUUGUUCUCAAAACUAAUAUGCAAAGUGGUCAUUUUGGUGAGGGUGGACGCUUAAUGUCUUGUGAGGAAACAGCCUUCGAGUAUGCAUUUAUAAUGAAGGCAUUGGGGAUGGAUGACAUAGGUGCGAAGCAGUGAACCAAUGCUCAUCGCUUUUUCGUGCUGGAAAAGUUGUGGUGACACAUGAAAGCACUAAUUGUCUAAUUGAUAUCGUUACCUGCUGUGCUAACAUCUGGCAACCUAGCAUGAUACGUUGGAUCAGAUUUGUCACAGACCAAAAUAUUGUUGGCUCAAGCACCUAUACUUUGCGGGUUCCUACAGUGCAGAGUGCUAACUGAGACCCUCAGAACAGUACAUAUGGGAUGCCCGUUAAGGUGUUAAGGUCAGAGAUCAACUGCUCUGCAUCAAAUUUAAGUCUUUUUUAUUUGAAGAGCAAUCAUAAUCAAUUAUAUUCAGGUUUGCAUAGCAACAUCAUGAUGCGUCAUGUUAGUUGAGCUGAUUGUGCUGGAUAUGGACCUAUCAAACAAAUAAUGAGUAUGGAUAUCAGUUUGGACUUCUAACUUACAUAUCAGGUUAGUGUAUGUUGCCUUCUUAUUUUUGGCUCUGAAUGGGAUUUUGCCUCUUUGAAUUAUAAUCAGCUUCCUGUAACAUUCAUAUAUUGUACCUUUACGUUUCCUACGUGUUUGAUCAAUUAGUCGCAGUUUAUAUGGGCCCCCCGUUUAUAUGAUAUACAUAAAGUAUUAUUUUGUUGUUGUUAUAACCUAGUACAUUUUCUAUGCUUA